GAAGCUAUAUUUUGAAAGUGGUACUUACUUUAAUGAGAUUCGAUUCUGAUAGACGAAUCUAAUAUGAAAAUUACAUGAAACUGAGUUUUUAUAGAUUAACCGAUACUAUUUUUUGCUUAUACUUUUUCUUGGCACAAAGCCUUUUUUUUUUCUUUUUUUUCUUUUUGGUGCUUGGAUAUUCAUGGAAGUAGUAAGUGGAUGAUGAUAUCUUCAUCAAUGAUCCAUCCAGAACAACCAGAACGAUUGGUACGUAGAAACACGGCACAAUCAUCAUCAUUGGUAUGCAUUAUAUGGCAUCUAUAUAUAUAUACGCCUAUACCAAGUGUACGUUAUAUAUAAUUAUAACAAGUAUGCAUAUAAAAAUGGAUUCAUUUCACGUAACUACAAAAACAAA
rnacentral:lncRNA from 1 species